rnacentral:rRNA from 1 species
UACGAAGGGGGCUAGCGUUGCUCGGAAUCACUGGGCGUAAAGCGCACGUAGGCGGCUUGUUAAGUCGGGGGUGAAAUCCUGGAGCUCAACUCCAGAACUGCCCUCGAUACUGAUGAGCUCGAGUCCGGGAGAGGUGAGUGGAACUGCGAGUGUAGAGGUGAAAUUCGUAGAUAUUCGCAGGAACACCAGUGGCGAAGGCGACUUGCUGGACUUGUAGUGACGCUGAGACGCGAAAGCGUGGGGAGCAAACAGG